rnacentral:lncRNA from 1 species
AAAGGCAUCUACUUUUAAGGCUCAUGCUUCUCCAUCUUCUUCCUCCCGUAGAAGACAGGUUUCACCUACCGACGCAUCAUUCCCUCCAUCCUCUCGCAUGCGACAAGUUUCAUUUAUUCAUGCGCCAAAGGUACCCGAGUCAUAUGUUCUGAUAGGAUGCGGAGAUGUAUUUUCGCAAACUCUAAACGAAUAUGUAUAUCCGGAACAAUAAACAUGUAAAAUGACUUCAAAGUGAGAUGGAUGGUGUAUAUUUUAAAAUAUUUUGGAGAUACAUCUUCGGAUCAACUAACGUUUAGAUGCAUCUCCGAAAUUUGAGAGACAUUUUAGAUUUUUCUGAGGAUGUUUUUCCAUCCUAUAUGGUGG